CUAUUAGAUGGAGAUCGGCCCCCAGCUCUCCGUGUUCACAGCGGACCUUGAUUUAAUGUUAUACAAUUAAGGCACGCGGUGAAUGCCAAGAGAGGGGCCGCUUAGCGUCCAGAGGAGC
rnacentral:pre_miRNA from 17 species